UGCGUCUAUAUCUCAUUGAAACACUGGUUCACGUACAAUUACCGAAGUCAAGCAAUGUUGAGCCUGGUUAGUACCUAAAUGGGUGACCGCUUGGGAAUACCAAG